rnacentral:rRNA from 1 species
CCUAAGGAGUAAUCCUGUGCGCGGCGCUAUGCCUGACAGCGUGCCUCUUGGAGAAUGAGCCUGCGAGUUAAUCUCAGUGGCGAGGUUAAGGGAGUUACACCCGAAGCCGUAGCGAAAGCGAGUCUGAAUAGGGCGUAUAGUCGCUGGGAUUAGACCCGAAACCUGGUGAGCUACCCAUGCGCAGGGUGAAGCGAGUCUAACCACUCGUGGAGGCCCGAACUUACUAAUGUUGCAAAAUUAGGAGAUGACCUGUGGGUAGAGGUGAUAUGCCAAACGAACUAGGAGAUAGCUGGUUCUCCCCGAAAUAGCUUUAGGGCUAGCGUUGUGCGUUUAGUAUUGGAGGUACAGCACUGAAUGGGCUAAGGGGCUUACAGCUUACUGAACCCAAUCAAACUCGGAAUGCCAAUACUCCAUAGCACGGCAGUCGGACUCCGGGAGAUGAGUUUCGGGGUCGAAAGGGAAACAGCCCAGAUCAUCAGCUAAGGUCCUUAAGUCUACACUAAGUGGGAAACGAGGUGGGGCUACUUAAACAACCAGGAGGUUGGCUUAGAACCAGCCACCCUUUAAAGAGUGCGUAAUAGCUCACUGGUCUAGUGGCCCUGCGCGGAAAACUUAACGGGGCUAAGUGUAGCACCGAAGCUAUGGGACUUACGCAAGUAAGUCGGUAGGGGAGCGUUCCAUCAGCAGUGAAGGUCGACCGUAAGGACGGCUGGAGCGGAUGGAAGUGAGAAUGCAGGCAUGAGUAGCGAAUAAACACGUGAGAACCGUGUUCGCCGUAUGUCUAAGGUUUCCGACGCCAGGUCAUUCCGCGUCGGGUUAGUCAGGGCCUUAGCCGAGGCCGAGAGGCGUAGGUGAUGGAUAUCCGGUCAACAUUCCGGAACCACCUGGAUGGAGUGAUGUGGGGACGCAACGUGGUAGGCCAGCCUCCGAUUGGUUGUGGAGGUGCGAUCCGUUUAGGCGUUGAGAUUGGUAGGAAAAUCCGCCAGUUGAGCUGAGACGAGAGCGAGCCCUUGAGGCGUAAGUGGUUGAGCCAUAUUGCCAAGAAAAGCCACUAAACGUUGAAGUCCAGGUGCCUGUACCGCAAACCGACACCGGUAGACGGGUUGAGUAUACCAAGGCGAACGGGAGAACUAUCGUUAAGGAACUAGGCAACAUGACCCCGUAACUUCGGGAUAAGGGGUACCCACGCAAGUGGGUCGCAGUGAAAUGGCUCUAGUGACUGUUUAACAAAAACACAGGUCUCUGCUAAGCCGUAAGGCGAUGUAUAGGGGCUGACGCGUGCCCAGUGCCGGAAGGUUAAAGGGAGAGGUUAGACGCAAGUCGAAGCUUUGAACUGAAGCCCCGGUGAACGGCGGCCGUAACUAUAACGGUCCUAAGGUAGCGAAAUUCCUUGUCGGGUAAGUUCCGACCCGCACGAACCGCGUAACAACUAGAGCACUGUCUCAACGAUAGACCC